rnacentral:lncRNA from 1 species
UGGAGAGUAGAAGACAGCGUCAUUUCCCCCAAGAGCAUCCCUUUCCUCAAAGAAUUGUGCCUGGAUCGUUGCUUUUGCAAUUGGCCUCCAAAUCUUGGGACUCUUCAUUUUGGGGUGCUUUUAUUUCAUCAGGAAGCAGUGCAAGGCAAGAGAAAAUCAAUCUCAAAAUGAAGAAGAGAAAGUGGCUCUUCAAAAGGAAAUUGGUAAGUUUUCUACACUGACCAAACUGUUUUUUCG